UGGGGAAUAUUGGACAAUGGGGGCAACCCUGAUCCAGCCAUGCCGCGUGUGUGAAGAAGGCCCUCGGGUUGUAAAGCACUUUCAGCGAGGAAGAACGCCUAGCGGUUAAUACCCGCUAGGAAAGACAUCACUCGCAGAAGAAGCACCGGCUAACUCCGUGCCAGCAGCCGCGGUAAUACGGAGGGUGCAAGCGUUAAUCGGAAUUACUGGGCGUAAAGCGCGCGUAGGUGGCUUGAUAAGCCGGUUGUGAAAGCCCCGGGCUCAACCUGGGAACGGCAUCCGGAACUGUCAAGCUAGAGUGCAGGAGAGGAAGGUAGAAUUCCCGGUGUAGCGGUGAAAUGCGUAGAGAUCGGGAGGAAUACCAGUGGCGAAGGCGGCCUUCUGGACUGACACUGACACUGAGGUGCGAAAGCGUGGGUAGCAAACAGGAUUAGAUACCCUGGUAGUCCACGCCGUAAACGAUGUCGACCAGCCGUUGGGUGCCUAGCGCACUUUGUGGCGAAGUUAACGCGAUAAGUCGACCGCCUGGGGAGUACGGCCGCAAGGUUA
rnacentral:rRNA from 1 species